UUUUCUACCUGCGCGAGUACUAAGGUGCUUAGGUUCUAUAACCUUGCAGAAUAAACUGUCCAAGCAUUUCAGUUCGUUUUUGACAUCCACCACGGAUAGACGUACGAGAGAAACCCCCAAGAAAAAAACCAAGACCUGGCAUCGCCGAUUGAUCAUCAAAAUUGCGGCCGUCAUUGUGGAAACCGUGCAGCACCUUUUUUUCACGUGAAAUUACAACAAUUUAUACAACAAUGAUGCACUCAAUAAA